rfam:Brenneria sp. EniD312 chromosome, whole genome shotgun sequence.
GGUUAAGCGACUAAGCGUACACGGGUGGAUGCCUAGGCAGUCAGAGGCGAUGAAGGGCGUGCUAAUCUGCGAAAAGCGUCGGCAAGGUGAUAUGAACCGUUACACCCGACGAUACCCGAAUGGGGAAACCCAGUGCAAUACGUUGCACUAUUUCAUGGUGAAUACAUAGCCAUGAAAGGCGAACCGGGGGAACUGAAACAUCUCAGUACCCCGAGGAAAAGAAAUCAACCGAGAUUCCCCCAGUAGCGGCGAGCGAACGGGGAGGAGCCCAGAACCAUCAUCAGUUUGUGUGUCAGUGGAAGCGUCUGGAAAGUCGCGCAACAAAGGGUGAUAGUCCCGUACACGAAGAUGCACAUGCUGUGAGUUCGAUGAGUAGGGCGGGACACGAGAUAUCCUGUCUGAAGAUGGGGGGACCAUCCUCCAAGGCUAAAUACUCCUGACUGACCGAUAGUGAACCAGUACCGUGAGGGAAAGGCGAAAAGAACCCCGGCGAGGGGAGUGAAACAGAACCUGAAACCGUGUACGUACAAGCAGUGGGAGCCUUGAUUUAUCAGGGUGACUGCGUACCUUUUGUAUAAUGGGUCAGCGACUUAUAUUCUGUAGCAAGGUUAACCGCAUAGGGGAGCCGUAGGGAAACCGAGUCUUAACUGGGCGUCAAGUUGCAGGGUAUAGACCCGAAACCCGGUGAUCUAGCCAUGGGCAGGUUGAAGGUUGGGUAACACUAACUGGAGGACCGAACCGACUAAUGUUGAAAAAUUAGCGGAUGACUUGUGGCUGGGGGUGAAAGGCCAAUCAAACCGGGAGAUAGCUGGUUCUCCCCGAAAGCUAUUUAGGUAGCGCCUCGUGAACUCAUCUGCGGGGGUAGGAGCACUGUUUCGUACUAGGGGGUCGAUCCCGACUUACCAACUCGAUGCAAACUGCGAAUACCGUAGAAUGUAAUCACGGGAGACACACGGCGGGUGCUAACGUCCGUCGUGAAGAGGGAAACAACCCAGACCGCCAGCUAAGGUCCCAAAGUCAUGGUUAAGUGGGAAACGAUGUGGGAAGGCCCAGACAGCCAGGAUGUUGGCUUAGAAGCAGCCAUCAUUUAAAGAAAGCGUAAUAGCUCACUGGUCGAGUCGGCCUGCGCGGAAGAUGUAACGGGGCUAAACCAUGCACCGAAGCUGCGGCAGCGAACGUAUCACUUAAAACGCUUAACGUGACGGCGAAGCUGGCACGUUCAAGCCACAAAAACGUUGAGUUGGCCUGAGCGCUGACAGACGGCAAGGCGUUUUAAGGAUACGUUCGUUGGGUAGGGGAGCGUUCUGUAAGCCGUAGAAGGUGGCCUGUGAGGGCUGCUGGAGGUAUCAGAAGUGCGAAUGCUGACAUAAGUAACGAUAAUGCGGGUGAAAAACCCGCACGCCGGAAGACCAAGGGUUCCUGUCCAACGUUAAUCGGGGCAGGGUGAGUCGACCCCUAAGGCGAGGCCGAAAGGCGUAGUCGAUGGGAAACGGGUUAAUAUUCCCGUACUGGUUGUUACUGCGAAGGGGGGACGGAGAAAGCUAGGUUGGCCGGGCGACGGUAGUCCCGGUUUAAGCGUGAAGGUGGGUGUUUUUGGAAAAUCCGGAACACCAUAACACUGAGGCGUGAUGACGAGUCACUACGGUGACGAAGUAACCGAUGCUACGCUUCCAGGAAAAGCCUCUAAGCACCAGGUAACAGUCAAUCGUACCCCAAACCGACACAGGUGGUCAGGUAGAGAAUACUCAGGCGCUUGAGAGAACUCGGGUGAAGGAACUAGGCAAAAUGGUGCCGUAACUUCGGGAGAAGGCACGCUGGAUUUGGUGAAGUCCCUUGCGGAUGGAGCUGAGACCAGUCGCAGAUACCAGCUGGCUGCAACUGUUUAAUAAAAACACAGCACUGUGCAAACACGAAAGUGGACGUAUACGGUGUGACGCCUGCCCGGUGCCGGAAGGUUAAUUGAUGGGGUCAGCCUUAGGGCGAAGCUCUUGAUCGAAGCCCCGGUAAACGGCGGCCGUAACUAUAACGGUCCUAAGGUAGCGAAAUUCCUUGUCGGGUAAGUUCCGACCUGCACGAAUGGCGUAAUGAUGGCCAGGCUGUCUCCACCCGAGACUCAGUGAAAUUGAACUCGCUGUGAAGAUGCAGUGUACCCGCGGCAAGACGGAAAGACCCCGUGAACCUUUACUAUAGCUUGACACUGAACCUUGAGCCUUGAUGUGUAGGAUAGGUGGGAGGCUGUGAAGCGUGGACGCCAGUCUGCGUGGAGCCGACCUUGAAAUACCACCCUUUGAUGUUUGAUGUUCUAACGUGGGCCCGUAAUCCGGGUUGCGGACAGUGUCUGGUGGGUAGUUUGACUGGGGCGGUCUCCUCCCAAAGCGUAACGGAGGAGCACGAAGGUUAGCUAAUCCUGGUCGGACAUCAGGAGGUUAGUGCAAAGGCAUAAGCUAGCUUGACUGCGAGAGUGACGGCUCGAGCAGGUGCGAAAGCAGGUCUUAGUGAUCCGGUGGUUCUGAAUGGAAGGGCCAUCGCUCAACGGAUAAAAGGUACUCCGGGGAUAACAGGCUGAUACCGCCCAAGAGUUCAUAUCGACGGCGGUGUUUGGCACCUCGAUGUCGGCUCAUCACAUCCUGGGGCUGAAGUAGGUCCCAAGGGUAUGGCUGUUCGCCAUUUAAAGUGGUACGCGAGCUGGGUUUAGAACGUCGUGAGACAGUUCGGUCCCUAUCUGCCGUGGGCGUUGGAAGAUUGAGAGGGGUUGCUCCUAGUACGAGAGGACCGGAGUGAACGCACCACUGGUGUACGGGUUGUGAUGCCAAUUGCAUUGCCCGGUAGCUAAGUGCGGAAGAGAUAACCGCUGAAAGCAUCUAAGCGGGAAACUUGCCUCGAGAUGAGUCUUCCCUGGGACUUCGAGUCCCCUGAAGGGCCGUUGAAGACGACGACGUAGAUAGGCCGGGUGUGUAAGCGCAGCGAUGCGUUGAGCUGACCGGUACUAAUGACCCGAGAGGCUUAACCUU